ensembl:lncRNA
CCGCGGGCGGCGGCCGAGCAGAAGGGUGGGAGUGACCACGCUUCCCAGGCGGCCCCGCGGUGCGAGAGGCGGCCCUGCUUCCGGGGGCUGCAGGGAAUUGUAGUCUCGGCGCGUGCAGAGCGCGGAGUUUUACAGGGAGCAGCAAUUCACAGAAAAUAAUGUUUGAGAAUGCACAUAAAUAACAAAAAUAAAGGAGCAUCUAUAACCACGUCUUCUAGAAGUUUUUAACCUCCGGCUCAUUUUCUAAAGAUUUGAGACCUAGCCUUUGCCUCUUAAUCUGGUCAGAGUAUGAAUGAAUGCAGUUCACCAAAGAAGCAAUACUGAAAGUAUUCUCCAAGUUAGCACUUCUGUCACUGACCAGGAAAGAGAAGCCUGAGAUGAAAUGUCCCAGAAAUAGUGAGUGAAGGAAGAACUACUUGGAGUGCUGCAAAAUGUUUUCAAGGACAUACCUAAAAAGGCAGGAAAUUUUGGACACUAGUUCUCAAGAGUGUAAUUCCCCUCAAACAUCAUAUAGGAAAUGCUCAUGGAUAGAACAUCUGCUUCUAC